rnacentral:rRNA from 1 species
UACAGAGGUCCCAAGCGUUGUUCGGAAUCACUGGGCGUAAAGGGUGCGUAGGCGGCGCGGAAAGUCAGGGGUGAAAUCCCGGAGCUCAACUCCGGAACUGCCUUUGAUACUCCCGCGCUUGAGAACUGGAGGGGAGACCGGAAUUCACGGUGGAGCAGUGAAAUGCGUGGAUAUCGUGAGGAACACUAGUGGCGAAGGCGGGUCUCUGGACAGUGAUCUGACGCUGAGGCACGAAGGCCAGGGGAGCGAACGGG